rnacentral:rRNA from 1 species
AACGAACGCUGGCGGCAGGCUUAACACAUGCAAGUCGAACGGGCACCUUCGGGUGUCAGUGGCAGACGGGUGAGUAACGCGUGGGAACGUACCCUUCGGUUCGGAAUAACCCAGGGAAACUUGGGCUAACACCGGAUACGUCCGCAAGGAGAAAGAUUUAUCGCCGAAGGAUCGGCCCGCGUCGGAUUAGCUAGUUGGUGGGGUAAUGGCCCACCAAGGCGACGAUCCGUAGCUGGUCUGAGAGGAUGANCAGCCACACUGGGACUGAGACACGGCCCAGACUCCUACGGGAGGCAGCAGUGGGGAAUAUUGGACAAUGGGCGAAAGCCUGAUCCAGCCAUGCCGCGUGAGUGAAGAAGGCCUUAGGGUUGUAAAGCUCUUUCAGCGGGGAAGAUAAUGACGGUACCCGCAGAAGAAGUCCCGGCUAACUUCGUGCCAGCAGCCGCCGU